AUACGGAAGGUCCGGGCGUUAUCCGGAUUUAUUGGGUUUAAAGGGCGCGCAGGCGGAGAUGCAAGCGUGACGUCAAAUUUCGGGGCUCAACCCCGUCUCGCGUCGCGAACUGCGUCCCUUGGUUGCGGGAAGGGGAGGCGGAACUCGUGGUGUAGCGGGGGAAUGCAUAGAUAUCACGAAGAAAUCCGAUCGCGAAGGGAGCCUUCCGGCCCGUCAACGACGCUCAUGCUCGAAGGUGCGGGUAUCAAACAGGAUUAGAUACCCUGGUAGUCCGCACAGUAAACGAUGGACACCCGCGGUUUGGCCUAUAUGGCUGAGCCGCCAAGCGAAAGCGUUAAGUGUCCCACCUGGGGAGUACGCCGGCAACGGUGAAACUCAAAUGAAUGGGCGGGG
rnacentral:rRNA from 1 species